rnacentral:rRNA from 1 species
UCCAGCUACAAUAGMGUAUAUUAAAGUUGUUGCAGUUAAAAAGCUAGUAGUUGGAUUUCGGAAGGUCCUUAGCAAUCCGYCCCUUYGGGGAGCGGGUUGCUGGCCUCCUAUGUUCCUAACGGUCCUCAUCCGCGAGGGUGGGGAAUCAACCGCUAGGAUCGUUUACUUUGAGGAAAUUAGAGUGUUCAAAGCAGGCGUAACUYGCCUCCGAAUACGUUAGCAUGGGAUAAUGGAAUASGACUUCGGUCUUGUUUCGUUGGUUUCGCUUGGCUGAAGUAAUGAUUGAUAGGGACAGUUGGGGGCAUUAGUAUUUAGUUGUCAGAGGUGAAAUUCUAGGAUUUACUAAAGACUGACCAAUGCGAAAGCAUUUGCCAAGGAUGUUUUCAUUAAUCAAGAACGAAAGUAGGGGGAUYGAAGACGAUCAGAUACCGUYGUAGUYUYUACCGUAAACUAUGCCGACCAGGGAUCCGGAGAGUKUGCAUGGAUGACUCCCCGGGCACCUUGUGAGAAAUCAUAAGUGUUUGGGUUUGGGGGGAGUAUGGUCGCAAGGCUGAAACUAAAGAAUGACGAACGACCCCAUGGUA